GCCGUCAGCUCGUAGCUGAUGCAGCCAUGCCGCGUGUGUGAAGAAGGCCUUCGGGUUGUAAAGCACUUUCCUUAGGGAGGAAGGGGGGUGGCUUAAUACGCUAUAGCUGUGACGUUACCUACAGAAGAAGGACCGGCUAAAUCCGUGCCAGCAGCCGCGGUAAUAA
rnacentral:rRNA from 1 species